rnacentral:rRNA from 1 species
AUUGAACGCUGGCGGCAGGCUUAACACAUGCAAGUCGAGCGGGGGAAGGUAGCUUGCUACUGGACCUAGCGGCGGACGGGUGAGUAAUGCUUAGGAAUCUGCCUAUUAGUGGGGCACAACAUCCCGAAAGGGAUGCUAAUACCGCAUACGUCCUACGGGAGAAAGCAGGGGAUCUUCGGACCUUGCGCUAAUAGAUGAGCCUAAGUCGGAUUAGCUAGUUGGUGGGGUAAAGGCCUACCAAGGCGACGAUCUGUAGCGGGUCUGAGAUGAUGAUCCGCCACACUGGGACUGAGACACGGCCCAGACUCCUACGGGAGGCAGCAGUGGGGAAUAUUGGACAAUGGGGGGAACCCUGAUCCAGCCAUGCCGCGUGUGUGAAGAAGGCCUUAUGGUUGUAAAGCACUUUAAGCGAGGAGGAGGCUACUCUAGUUAAUACCUAGGGAUAGUGGACGUUACUCGCAGAAUAAGCACCGGCUAACUCUGUGCCAGCCGCCGCGGUAA